rnacentral:rRNA from 1 species
UACAGAGGUCCCAAGCGUUGUUCGGAUUCACUGGGCGUAAAGGGUGCGCAGGUGGGUUUGCAAGUUUGAUGUGAAAGCCCCGGGCUUAACCCGGGAAUGGCAUUGAAUACUGCAGAUCUGGAGGAUUGGAGGGGGGACUGGAAUUCUUGGUGUAGCGGUGGAAUGCGCAGAUAUCAGGAGGAACACCAAUAGCGAAGGCAGCUCGCUGGGACGUUACUGACACUGAGGCGCGAAAGCGUGGGGAGCGAACAGG